ensembl:lncRNA
GGUGAAGUUGUGAAUCGCGAGCUCAUUAGGCAUACUAGCAUGUUAUAAAUAUCCUGGCCAUGGAUGCAUUAAUCAUUGCAUCUGUCUUUCAAAGAUGUCAGGUAAAAAACAAAUAAGCAUCCUGUCCUUCGCCCAAAGGUGAAAGCCCCCUAAAAAGGCCAGAUUAGGCCCAGAGAAGGUCGUAAACACAUUAGAGGAGGAGAUGGUGGAAGUGGAAGAGACAGUGCAGGUGGAAGAGGAAGAGACAGUACAGGUAGAGGAGGGAGAGACAGUGCAGGUGGAGGAGGAGGAGACGGUGGAAGAAACAGUGGAGGAGAUGGCUAGAACAAAAGGGAGAAAAGUCCCAGGAGCAGCCACCUACAAGACCUCUUUUAAUAGUGAAUGGACCUCUAAAUGGCCAUGUAUUACUGUAGGAAGCACCAGCUCAUAUUACUGGUGCUCUAUCUGCGCCAAGAAACCUCCUGUGCCCAUCCAGGUGUGCGGGAUGUGACAAGGCACAUAGUAAGGGGCAUCAGGCCAAACAGCAGGCACUGAAGUGCAAUUAAUACAUCCAAUUCUAUGACUAUGGCAUAUAUAAUGGGAACCAAUACCAAAAAUGAUAAAAGAGUCCAAAAAGGCAACAAACACCUACAAUAAACAACACAAGUCAUAAUUCUCUCUCUCUCUCCCAAAUUGAAUAAAUACUUUGUAAUUGGUUGAAUUGUCAGUGCCAUGUGUCAAAUCUUUUCUGCAAGUCUGAACAAUUAUUAACAACAACAAAAC